UUCUUCGGAGAGUUUGAUCCUGGCUCAGGAUGAACGCUGGCGGCGUGCCUAAUACAUGCAAGUCGAGCGAACUGAUUAGAAGCUUGCUUCUAUGACGUUAGCGGCGGACGGGUGAGUAACACGUGGGCAACCUGCCUGUAAGACUGGGAUAACUUCGGGAAACCGAAGCUAAU
rnacentral:rRNA from 1 species